rnacentral:rRNA from 1 species
AGGACAAACGCUGGCGGCGUACCUAAGACAUGCAAGUCGAACGGAGACUGUGUCUUCGGAUGCAGUUUGAGUGGCGAACGGGUGAGUAACGCGUAGGAACCCGCCUCGAUGUGGGGGAUAACACUUGGAAACAGGUGCUAAUAUCGCAUGUGGUCGAGAGAAGAAAGGCUCUGUAAGGAGUCGCAUUGAGAGGGGCCUGCGUCCGAUUAGCUAGUUGGUGGGGUAACGGCUUACCAAGGCGACGAUCGGUAGCUGGUCUGAGAGGAUGGUCAGCCACACUGGGACUGAGACACGGCCCAGACUCCUACGGGAGGCAGCAGUUAGGAAAUUUUGCCAAUGGGGGAAACCCUGAGCGAGUAACGCCGCGUGGAGGAUGACGGCCUUCGGGUUGUAAACCGCUUUCACCAGGGACGAAGCGAGAGUGACGGUACCUGGGGAAGAAGCGCCGGCUAACUACGUGCCAGCAGCCGC